rnacentral:rRNA from 1 species
GACGAACGCUGGCGGCGUGCUUAACACAUGCAAGUCGAACGGUAAGGCCCUUCGGGGUACACGAGUGGCGAACGGGUGAGUAACACGUGGGUGAUCUGCCCUGCACUUCGGGAUAAGCCUGGGAAACUGGGUCUAAUACCGGAUAGGACUCCGGACUGCAUGGUCUGGGGUGGAAAGCUUUUGCGGUGUGGGAUGGGCCCGCGGCCUAUCAGCUUGUUGGUGGGGUGAUGGCCUACCAAGGCGACGACGGGUAGCCGGCCUGAGAGGGUGACCGGCCAGACUGGGACUGAGAUACGGCCCAGACUCAUACGGGAGGCAGCAGCGGGGAAUAUUGCACAAUGGGCGCAAGCCUGAUGCAGCGACGCCGCGUGGGGGAUGACGGCCUUCGGGCUGUAAACCUCUUUCAGCACAGACGAAGCGCAAGUGACGGUAUGUGCAGAAGAAGGACCGGCCAACUACGUGCCAGCCGCCGCGGUAA